rnacentral:lncRNA from 1 species
AAUGGCUUUAGGUUAAAGAGGAGAGAUUCAGGCUUGGCUUGUGCUGCACCUCGAGGAGGCCUCAUUGAGACCUGCUGCAGCCUCUGUGCCCAAACACCCCCUCUUUUGGGGGGAGGCUGAUCCGGCCCAGCCGCAUGAUCGCAGUCAGGUGACGACGCCGAGCACAAAAGCAGCGCGGGAUAAGCAGCUCAGCGUGGCAGAUCAGCUGCUGCCCCGGCCCCUCUGCGAGCUGCUACUGCUCAGGGAAAAUGAGCACCUGGCCCCCUCCUCUGCUCUGGAGCCUCACCACGGUGUGUCUGACAGGUAUUGCUUUAGGCCAGACAACCACCACUCAGGCCCCUGUUGCAUCAACCUCGCUACUUCUGAGUGCUGCUACCACCCAAGUCCCUGUUGCACCAACCCAAAUGUCUUCUGUUGCCACCGCGACCUCAGCCCCCCCAUCCCCAUCUUCUGCUGGAAUGCUCUCAGUUGGAACAGUGACAAACCUCACCAGCCCUACAGUUGUGCCAUCUGCUGUCUCAAGCACAAACUCUCCCUCUCCAACUCUGCCCACCACCCCACGCAUCACUGCACUCACCUCUGGGAUUGCAACCACCCCUCAUGCACCCACAGCACCAAUGGCCACAUCCAGCAGUCCCUGGGCCACCCCUCCAGAUGUAACUGCAUCUCCUGGGGUCCCAUCAGUGGUCCCGUUUCUCAGCACCAUUGAGCCCUCAAACUGCAGCAGAGUGAAUGUGACAACAUGUGCUCCUUGCUCCCCAGGGACCAUUCCCAGCAAUGCACUACGAGGAGCACCGUGUGCUCACCCUGCCUGCCUGGCCACUAUGCCAACGAGUCGGGGGCCGCAGCCUGCAGCGCGUGCCAGAAAGGUUAUUUUAGCUCACAGCAAAAUGCAGCUUCUUGUCUGCCUUGCCUGCCUGGAUCGUUCUGCAACACCACCAGCUGCACGCUGUGUCUGGCCUGUCCUGCUGGGCGUGAGGCUCCACGGGAGGCUGCUGAGGAGUGUACACUGUGCCGGGCAGGUACGUUCAAAGGUCUGGGUGAUGACACCUGCAAGCCCUGCGAGCCAGGGGAAUACCAACUGCAGCAGGGCCAGGAGAGCUGUGACCUGUGUCCAGAGAACCACUACUGCCCUAGCCCAGAUGUGAACCCAAUCAAGUGCCCUCCUGAUGCCUUCUGCCCUGUGGGCAGCACUGAGCCCCAGUACUGCAUGGAGAUCUUCCUGUACAAGGUGGGCAGCUCCUGCCAGCUGACGCCACUGGUGAUCGUCCUCCUGGCCCUCUUCUCAGCAGGCGCAAUUCUUAUAAUCUUUGUACUAAUUCUGAGAAGAAGGCAAGAACACAGCACAAAGUCUUUGAAGUCCCUGCUGCUACCACAAGGAUCAGAGCAGCACACAACGUAUGGAGUGAUGGAGCACACAGAGCCGGUGUAUGCUGGCUGGUAGAGGGGGAAAGGCAACCUGCAAGCACUGUGUUCCCUUUUCUGUAGGGUAAUGCACGCGUGUGCAUAUGUGAAAGAAGUUUGACCGUCACCAACCUAUUUCCGUAUUGCUAAAAUAAGCACAGAGAAAUGAAAUGCAAGUCAUUUUUCAGCUGUGCCUUUCUGUGCUGACCAACCUGGCUGGAUGCUGUUCUACAUCAAAUGGAUUUACAGCAGAAGCUUCCCCCUCUAAUUCCUAGCUCCACUCGCAAUAAAUACUUCUUUUUUUCCUUUCCUUAAGAAAUUUCAGCAGUCAGCUCAACUGCUGGAACAAAGAACAGCUGCUGCAGAUACUGGACUUCCCACAGCACAAUUGCUUCUACCCGAGCAGGAACUAACACAAAUAUUCCUCCUUUAAGGAAGAUGCACGUUUACUUAUUUAUUUGCCCUUCUCAAAACUUUACCUAUACUUGAAACUGAGGGUCAGCUGAAAAAAGGAAUCCCACACUUUUCCCUUCCUCUCAGCUGUGGGAAAACACGUGCAGCUGAACUUAUGGUUGACUCCUGGACAAAUGUGUCCCUUCUGUUUCCUGCUGUGGUGCUGCGGUCUCUCAUGCAGUGCUUCAUAUUACUCCACAGAGCUACAGAAGCAACACCCUCCUCCUCCUUCUCCAGUGCAAUUCAUUCGCAUACCAUGCAGGCUGCAAAGCCCUGCUCAGAUCAUCCAGCUGUGACACUUCCACAGCGCUGUGCUUCAUCAGCUCUGAGAGCCCUGGUAAAAAUAGUACUUAAUAUUGUGAGAGCUGUGCUUUCAAGUGAGUGUGCACGGAGGUGGAAGCAGGUGUUACUUCUCACUGGAGCCCUUUCCCUGAGCUAAAGCAGCAGCAGCCAGCUGAAGGAACCCAGCUGGUGGGGGUUAAGUGGCUGCUGCCCUCCACUGCUCAUUCUUCUCAUCCCUGGGGAGGUUAUUGUGCUUUUCAAGAAAAAGGAAAUAAACAACCGCCAAAAAAAAAGCAGUUCUCUGAUCUGUUUCAGAUCUGUCAGAUGAGUAAACGGACGGGAAGAGAGGUGUGUUAUCCUCUGUGGUAAGCAGUAAUGCAGCUGGUAGCCCUGCCACCUGGAUCAGCAGCAGCAUGGACCAAUCACACACCAAGCUCAGUCCCACCCCAAAACCCUUUCUGCCCUCAAUCUCCACUUUCCCACUGAAAGCUGGUUACCUCCUGUCCUCAUGCUUUGUUCUUUCCUUCCCACUCCUCCUCACUCCCAGCUACUUGCUUGAAAUGUGCUGGCUCUCAGAAUCCCCCGUUCUAAGAGGAAAUGGGUCCUUUGCAGCAGUGACCACCUGGGGACAGGAUGGGGCCCUCUCCUUGUGGCUUAUGUGGCUGCAGGAAAUGAUGCCCAACACCCUCUUGUGUUCUUCAGUCCUGAGAGCUGGGGCACAGGGUGUGCACAGCCCUUCUGCUGGGCUCUCUGAUGCUGUCCAUAGCACGCAGGCACUAAGUUUCUCAGUGGGCACAGUCAGGGCUUUCCAGAGGAGCAGCAAAAGGAUGGAGUCCUGAUAACAGAGCACCAGGUUAUCUCAGCAGAACACUAAACCAACAGUGCCAAAGCACAUUUCGGAUUUGCUCUUAAAGAAGCACAGCUGCAGGCAGGCACAGAGAUUCCACCCAUGAAGGAAACCUGGCUGAGAAAGAAAAAUAUGGGUGAAUUAAAACCUGACCCACCAGGAACACCAGCAGUGACAGCUGAAUGGAGCUGGUAGGACUGCGUGAUUGCAGCUCAAAAUAUUUGAAGUCUGUCAAAUUCUGAGUAACAGAAGACAGCUCUGUAACAGGAGAA